AGGCUCCCGGAGAGACUCUGAUCCCACCAGGAGCCUUCAGAGGCAGAAAGUUCCCUGUCAGCAGAACACUGUAGGCCACGUCGCAAACCUCAAGCUGGCCUUCUGUUCGCGUCCCAGGCAUUUGCAGCAGAAUCUGGUGCGGCUGCGUAGAACCUGGAGCCCCUUCACUUGGGAAUGAGCUGGAAGGGCAACAACUCAACUGAAACCACAUCACACAGCCGCUGCGGCACAGUGGGACCGCUGUCACGUUGCACCUUCAGGACCUCAGUCUUCCCGGUUUCCACACCUAGAGGACCAGAGAUGGCCUGCCAUCUAAGACCCACCCACGAAAGAACCGGAACAGAUAAGGAAGCAGAAUGAGAAGUGUUCCUGGACAGAAAAGCCCAGAAUGUACAGCUACCGAAGAGGAACCUGAAACUUAAUCCACAGAUUCCUAACAUAAAAAUAAAGGGAAACAGAUAGCAGCUUUAAAAAUCUCACUAGCCACACCGGGUGGUGUUUGCCGGCAAUAUUAGCAUUCUGGAGAUGGAAUCUGGAUGAUCAGGAGUUAAAAGUCAUCCCCAGAUACAUAAUGAGUUCCGGGAUAGCCUAGGCUACACGAGACUGUUCCAAAUAAUAAACCAAUAUAGCCUAGGCUACAUGAGAGUCUGUUUCAAAUGAUAAACAAGUCUCCCCCCAUUCCAGAAGGCUUAUCAGUCCCGUUCCCAGCACCAAUUCCUUGCCCUCCAUCAAAGCAUGGUCAGGCAGGGCCAGCAAGAUGGCUCGAUGGGUAUAGGUACUUAGACCUAAGUUAGAUCCCCGAAUCCAGGUAAAGGUGGAAGGAGACAGUGGGUUCCAUAAAAUUGUCCUCUGACCUUCAAAUGAUCCUUCAAUGGCAUAUACACACAUGUGUAUGUCUAUAUAUAUAUACACAUAUAUAUACACACAAUGAUAAAUAAAUAAUUUUAAAGAUGU
rnacentral:lncRNA from 1 species